CUGCCUAAGUCUCAGGUGUGGGAGCUUUUAAAAGAGGGUUUUGAGGCUCUGCUUCUGGGUUUGGGAUUGUUUUGUGGUGCUUGAAAUGAGGAAGGUACAGGGCCAACUGAAGCCUGAAUCUGAGUGACAACCCUGACUUCUCAUGGCACAUCUCAAGAACAAGGCUUUGUCACCAGGUUUACCUGGCCAAGUGUUCAAGGAGGUCAUGGCGAACACAGCAAGAGGAAGGUUUCUCAUAUUCAGCUCCAAGGCUUACGUCUGUACACUUGACAAGUGGUCCUCACAUCUUCUGCUACCCUCUUGAUGGAGCUAAUGAAAGUAUUAAGGUCAGAGCUGUGCACUUCACAGCGCACAAAAUACUCCAGUUCAGCAGUGCCUUCACGGGGCUUUCGGCUGAGUCUUGUCUCCAAGUGGUGGAUUUUAGCUUCAAAUGUCUUGUAGAACAUGGGAAAGAAGAACAAAAGCAUUAAACGCUGAAAGACUGUAACACUUGAGGAAAAACUGAUGCUUUCCAAAGAUGUACACAUACGGACAUUUGUGGGGAGGUCCCUGCUGCUGCACUGAAAAUUAUUUUGACUGAGGUAAACUUGCUUAUCCGUUACCGAGGUUUUGCUUCUGAGAGGGGAAGUCGCUAGGGUAGAAAGCAACUUCCUAUGGUCCCCUUUUCCCUUUAAUUAGUGGAUUUUUGGUGGUGACGAAGGGGGGCAAGGAGCAACCAGGGAGCCGGCGGGCGGUGCUGGCCGUGGUGCUGAACGUGCGGGACCGCCGUCUCCGGGAGUGCACGUUCCCCUUGCCUGCCAUCACAAGUGUUUGGUACCCGUAGAAAAGCAGAGGUUUAACUCACCCACUACACGCCCGAUCGCAGACGAAUACACACACACACUUGAGCAUAAAGUCUGAAGCGAUCGUUCAGUUGCAGAUUUACAGCUGAAAUAAAUCUGUAGAUGUCUUAAUUUGUGUUUAAGCCAGCCAUUGGAAAAAUGUGAAUAGGUGAGUUGUCUAGUUUUUCGUCUGAGAAACAGGAUCUCACCCCCAUUUCAUACGUUUGAUAGCUUUCCUGAGGGACUCGUGACAGUGAUUUAACAGCCAUCUUAUUGCUACUUAAUGUCAUUUGAAGAGUCUAGCCUCACCCUUGUCAACAGUGACUGACAUAAAUACUCCUAUAAGACUUGCACCCCAUCAUUUUCCUCAAUUUUUUUUGUUUGUUUGUUUGUUUUGCUUGUUUUGUGAGGGUUCUUUAGGAGUCGAGGAAGAGGUUUAAGAAGAAACGUUUGUUCUGUCUACAUCCAGCAGGUUGCUAAAUUCUUCUCAGACUCUAGUAGUUACUUGGGGCUCAUCAUUAGAACUGAAUUCACACAAAAAUAAGAAGUGGACAGAACAGAGUCCCAGGUCCUCCAAAAGGUCCUGGUAGAAUUUUGGAUGCUUUCUUUAUCUCUGUGAAAAUCUGGAGUACGAGCACGAGUCCAUGGACAAUGACACAGCCUUUCCAAUGUCUCUGAGAUAUCUUUGGUAGAAGAAAGAGCAUUAUUUCUUUUGUUAAUCAGAGGCAGAUGAGAAGGAACAGAUGCAAUGCCACAGGUAAAUUAAAUUUAGGACUGUGUUUUUGAAUGUACCUACCAACUUCAAUAUUACAUUGUCCCCUCAACAAUCAAUACCUUUGCAUUAAUCUGACAGCUGUGAUUGCAUUACCUAUGCUUUGACUGCAUGUAACACAUACAGCAGAGCGAAACCAGCUUCCCUGCAGCCUGGUUUAUGAUGAGGCAAAUGUCAUUAUGCCCGUCUGCUUUCAUAUCUUGUACCUGCAUUGCCAGAGGGAUCUGGGAAAUGAAUCUUUCUCUGUUGUGGCUUGACAUGUUUGUCUUUUUAUUAUCUUGAAAGCUCUCUCUGUGACAAGAUCGAAGAGCUUUUUUUUUUUUUUCUUCUUUUUUUUUCUUCUCCAAAGCAGAUCUUGAUGCUGCAAGUAAUUUUCUCCAGAAAGAAACAAAUAAUAUUUGGAUGUAAGCUGCCCCUGUCUCUUCCUUGAUGUUUAAAAGCUAUUUAAAUUAUAGACUUAAAAUGUGCUGUAACAUGCAGUCUGCCAAGUACAAGAGUCUACACCUCCAUGCUUCAUACCUGCUAAGCAGUGCGUUGCAUUUGAAAUGUUACACUGAUGGGUUUGUUAUUUUUUUAUUUAUUUUACU